UACGUAGGGUGCAAGGCGUUUAAUCGGAAUUACUGGGCGUAAAGCGUGCGCAGGCGGUUGUGUAAGACAGAUGUGAAAUCCCCCGGGCUCAACCUGGGAACUGCAUUUGUGACGUGCACGGCUCGAGUGCGGCAGAGGGGGAUGGAAUUCCGCGUGUAGCAGUGAAAUGCGUAGAUAUGCGGAGGAACACCGAUGGCGAAGGCAAUCCCCUGGGCCUGCACUGACGGCUCAUGCACGAAAAGCCGUGGGGGAGCGAUCCGG
rnacentral:rRNA from 1 species